rnacentral:lncRNA from 1 species
AUAUAUAAUCUCCCGUUAAUGUCUCUGAUACCAAUUGAUAGAUUUUCUAGGUAUGUAAAAUAAGAAGAAAAUUAAAUACAUAUCAAAAUCCAGAAUCAAAAUAAAAUAACUUACAGAGUGGCAUAGAAAAAAAAUGCUUGAUCAAUCUGCGCAGCGAGACGAGGUUCGGUUAUGAUCUGAAAAUCACAAAUCGAAUUUGGGUAAUUUAGUUUCUCCUCCUAUCUUAGGCACUCUGCCAUAUGGUUGGAACCGAUGAUAAUUCUUCACUAGAAUGCAUAUGAGAAGAAGGCAGGACCAAUACCCUUUUAUAUAGAGUUCAGAUCGACUUCCCAUCAAAAUCUGAUUAGGGUUCUAUUUAAUUUAAAUGGAUGGGAUAGCACUACAACAAAAACGGUCUAUAGCUACACUUUUAAAUGUCGGUACAUGCCAAAAAAGUGUUGUUGGCUAAAUUACCGACACUUUUAAAAAGUGUUGCUAUAUAUGGGGUCGCUAGGUAUAUAGUGACAGUUAAAGAGUGUCGGUAUAAUCUAAAAGAGUGCUGCUAAUUUAUUAACACAUAUUUAAGCAUUUAGCAACCGCCGGAACUCUAUCUCGUUGGCUGCGGUGGCGGAGGAUGAGGAGAGGGAAGGGCUCUUCGUCUAGAAUUUCAGUAGAUUGAGUGAAGAGAGAAGGAGAGAUGUUAAUUGAUUUUUCUUAUUUUUUUGUUUUAUGUUUGUAAUGAGGUCGAAUGGGUUGGGUGGGAUGGGUUGAGUAGAGUAAUAUUUUAUUUUUGGUUGGAUUGGACUUUAUAUUUAGGCAUUAGUAGAUUUUUUUUUAAGUUUUGACAUAAAUGGGACAAUUACACAAAAGUGUCUCAAACAUGUGUCGCUAUAAACCUAAUUCUGUUGUAGUGUAGGAAUAAAAUAUACCACAUCAAGUAGUUCUAUAUCAAUUAGGAUUGACCCUUUAUUUAUAGUAAAUUCAGAUUUGAAUAUGAUAAUUAAUUGGGCCACAUUUAUGGAAAUCC